rnacentral:rRNA from 1 species
UACGUAGGUCCCGAGCGUUGUCCGGAUUUAUUGGGCGUAAAGCGAGCGCAGGUGGUUUAUUAAGUCUGGUGUAAAAGGCAGUGGUUCAACCAUUGUAUGUAUUGGAAACUGGUAGACUUGAGUGCAGGAGAGGAGAGUGGAAUUCCAUGUGUAGCGGUGAAAUGCGUAGAUAUAUGGAGGAACACCGGUGGCGAAAGCGGCUCUCUGGCCUGUAACUGACACUGAGGCUCGAAAGCGUGGGGAGCAAACAGG